GCCCCGGUAGCUCAGCCUGGUGGAGCGCCUCACUGGUAAUGAGGAGGUCCCGGGUUCGAAUCCCGGCCGGGGCU
rfam:Caldivirga maquilingensis IC-167, complete genome.